rnacentral:misc_RNA from 1 species
UAACUAUUACCCCUGAAGGCAUUUCCACCCAAUACCUGUGAAAUGCAUUAGAGAAGUGCCGGGAGGGAGCACCAAGAGAUGAAAAGCAAAGAGUUGACUGGGAAAGCUUGAAAUAUGAUGGGCAAAUGGGUCUCAACGGUGCAAUUUGGGUGGUGGAGAGCCCCAUAGCUAUCACCACUGUAAUUUUCCCCAGCUUAGCGCCGCAACAAACACUAGCAGUGCCUUUGGAAAGAAGAAGAGCCGUCUUGUUGGGUAUUUUUGAUCUGAGAUGAACUAUUUGAGAGGUAAGGCUACGGUAAGUGGGUUUGUGAGAGAAGCAGCAUCGGAGCAGAGGCUUCUUGUGGCCAU